rnacentral:misc_RNA from 1 species
GUAGGUGAACCUGCGGAAGGAUCAUUAUUGGAUUAAAAAACUCAGGCUGCUGCUGGCCCUCUGAGGGCAUGUGCACGCUUGUUGUUUCCUUACUUCUCCAACUGUGCACAAAUUGUAGAUCUCAUUGCGAGGUCUAUGUUGUUUUUCACAAUCUCUGAAUGUAAUAGAAUGAUUUGAAUCUGGGGAAAAAUACAUACAACUUUCAGCAACGGAUCUCUUGGCUCUC